UACGUAGGGCGCAAGCGUUGUCCGGAAUUAUUGGGCGUAAAGGGCUCGUAGGCGGUUUGUCGCGUCGGGAGUGAAAUCCACUGGCUUAACUGGUGGCUUGCUUUCGAUACGGGCAGGCUAGAGUUCGGUAGGGGAGAUCGGAAUUCCUGGUGUAGCGGUGAAAUGCGCAGAUAUCAGGAGGAACACCGGUGGCGAAGGCGGAUCUCUGGGCCGAUACUGACGCUGAGGAGCGAAAGCGUGGGGAGCGAACAGG
rnacentral:rRNA from 1 species